rnacentral:rRNA from 1 species
CCUACGGGAGGCAGCAGUGAGGAAUCUUGGGCAAUGGACGCAAGUCUGAACCAGCCACGUCGCGUGCAGGAAGACGGCUCUAUGAGUUGUACACUGUUUUUGUACGAGGGAAAAUCCCGAUACGUGUAUAGGGAUGACAGUAUCGGAAGAAUAAGGAUCGGCUAAAUCCGAGUAAACAGCCGCGGUAAUACGGAGGGUUCAAGCGUUAGCCGGAUUUAUUGGGUUUAAAGGGUGCGUAGGCGGUUCGAUAAGGUAGAGGGGGAAGUCCUGGGCUCAAAUCCGGCACUGCCUCUGAUUAUGUCGAGCUAGAGUGUAGUUGCGGUAGGCGGAAUGUAUGGUGUAGCGGUGAAAUGCGUAGAGAUCA